AGGUCAAGUGAAGAAGGGCGCACGGUGAAUGCCUUGGCACUGGAAGCCGAUGAAGGACGCGACUAACCGCGAAAGUCUUCGGGGAGCCGUAAGUAGGCUUUGAUCCGGAGGUCUCCGAAUGGGGGAACCCAGCAUGUGCAGACAUGCUAUCCUUAAGUGAAUACAUAGCUUAAGGAGGGAACACGCAGUGAACUGAAACAUCUAAGUAGCUGCAGGAAGAGAAAGAAAUAUCGAUUUCCCAAGUAGCGGCGAGCGAACAGGAAAGAGCCCAAACCGGCAGAUUUAUCUGCCGGGGUUGUAGGACUGAGACAUGGCACUUCAGAGGAUAGCAGAAGCGUUUGGGAAAGCGCGCCAGAGAGGGUGAGAGCCCCGUAAGCGAAAUCCAAAGAAGGCCUAUCAGUAUCCUGAGUAGGGCGGGACACGUGAAAUCCCGUUUGAAUCCGCGAGGACCAUCUCGCAAGGCUAAAUACUAACCAGUGACCGAUAGUGAACCAGUACCGUGAGGGAAAGGUGAAAAGAACCCCGGGAGGGGAGUGAAAGAGAACCUGAAACCGUGUGCCUACAAGUAGUCAGAGCCCGUUAACGGGUAAUGGCGUGCCUUUUGUAGAAUGAACCGGCGAGUUGCGUUAGUCAGCAAGGUUAAGUCAGAAAAGACGGAGCCGUAGCGAAAGCGAGUCUGAAGAGGGCGAGCAGUUGGCUGACGCAGACCCGAAACCAAGUGACCUACCCAUGACCAGGUUGAAGGCGCGGUAAAACGCGCUGGAGGACCGAACCCACGUAAGUUGAAAAUUGCGGGGAUGAGUUGUGGGUAGCGGUGAAAUUCCAAACGAACUUGGAGAUAGCUGGUUCUCUCCGAAAUAGCUUUAGGGCUAGCCUCGCAAAGAGGAUGCUGGAGGUAGAGCUCUGUUUGGACUAGGGGCCCGUCAAGGGUUACUGAAUUCAGAUAAACUGCGAAUUCCAGACAUUUAUGUGCGGGAGUCAGACUGCGAGUGAUAAGAUCCGUAGUCGAAAGGGAAACAGCCCAGAUCACCAGUUAAGGUCCCAAAAUUCAUGCUAAGUGGAAAAGGAUGUGGAGUUGCGCAGACAACUAGGACGUUGGCUCAGAAGCAGCCAUCAUUCAAAGAGUGCGUAAUAGCUCACUAGUCGAGUGACGCCGCGCCGAAAAUUUACCGGGGCUAAGCAUGAUACCGAAACUGUGGAUGUGCGUUUAUGCACGUGGUAGGAGAGCGUUCUAGCGGCGGUGAAGCAUGACUGAGAAGACAUGUGGAGCUUCUAGAAGUGAGAAUGCCGGUAUGAGUAACGAAAGACAGGUGAGAAUCCUGUCCGCCGCAAGACUAAGGUUUCCUGGGGCAGGCUCGUCCGCCCAGGGUAAGUCGGGACCUAAGGCGAGGCCGAGAGGCGUAGUCGAUGGACAACAGGUUGAAAUUCCUGUACUGCACCGAAUCGUUAUGAGCGAUGGAGGGACGCAGGAGGCUAGCAGCGCGUGGUGCUGGAUACCACGUUCAAGCGUCAAGUCUGAGAG
rnacentral:rRNA from 1 species